CGCAGAGUUGCAAAGGGUAUACUAUUAUGGGUUGGAGUGGAAUGAAGAGGAGAAGGAGAAAGGGUUCCUAGAAAGCGCAGAAAUAUCAAGUCACGACGGGUCGUUUCUGCAGUAACACCACCUAGUUCUACUUCUAAACCUUGUUCAAUGGAAUGACCAUACACGGCCUUGGGGUUGGCGUAUACCAUUUUGCCCAUCCCAUAUGUUAUAGGGAUCGUUGUUAUUUUCUGGGACAUGAAGGUGACAUAUUAGCAUUUGAUCUCAAGAAAGUCUCAUAUGCUACUGGAAAACCAUUUCCUUAUCAUUAUCGAAAUUUCUUGGUGAAGAGUGGAGGUAAUCUACUAGCUGUUAUGCUCCUGAAGAGGAGCAACAUGCCUAUCAAGAAAACAUGGCAGCUGGUAGAAUCUUUAAGGGACAAAAAAUGUUAUUCGUUAGCCGUACAUCAUCUUUUCCAAAACCAUCUCCAGUAAAAGCAGCAGGCAACAAGAUUUAUUUUCUCAAAAUUCGAGGCAAUGACUAUAUAUUCUACUCGCUACCAGAAAAUAUCAUUCCUUUGUGGGAGAUUACUCGAGCGGGAGUCAAAGAAUUGAUGAAUUGUACUUGGAUCGAACUCCAGACUUUUGCACCAUGUAAUCGGGAAAUUGAAUGGUAACACAGUCUGAUUGUUUGCGACACACUUAUGGUUAGCAGCAUAUAAAGUAGAAAUAUAGGUUAUAAAGAUGCUUUCUGUUUUUUCAGCAAAACUAUAUCAUCAGUUUGACAUAU
rnacentral:misc_RNA from 1 species